UACAGGGACGAUGCAGUGUUCGUGAAUUAUUGGGCGUAAAGCGCGUGUAGGCGGCUUUGCAAGUCGGGUGUGAAAGCCCUCAGCUCAACUGAGGAAGUGCGCCCGAAACUGCAGAGCUUGAGUACCGGAGAGGAUGGCGGAAUUCCCCAAGUAGAGGUGAAAUUCGUAGAUAUGGGGAGGAACACCGGUGGCGAAGGCGGCCAUCUGGACGGAUACUGACGCUGAGGAGCGAAAGCGUGGGGAGCAAACAGG
rnacentral:rRNA from 1 species